UACGUAGGGGGCAAGCGUUGUCCGGAAUCACUGGGCGUAAAGGGCGCGUAGGUGGCGACCCAAGUCGAUGGUGAAAGCUCGCCGCUCAACGGCGAGUCGGCCACCGAUACUGGGUUGCUGGAACACUGUAGAGGCAGAUGGAAUUCCGGGUGUAGCGGUGGAAUGCGUAGAGAUCCGGAAGAACACCGGUGGCGAAGGCGGUCUGCUGGGCAGUUGCUGACACUGAGGCGCGACAGCGUGGGGAGCAAACAGG
rnacentral:rRNA from 1 species